ensembl:lncRNA
GAAAAGCAAAAACAACCCCAGUUCCCCAGUUUAAAUUGAGUAAGGAAAGCACAGCAUCUGAAGACACAGACUGCCGAGUUGAGAGCUUUGUCUCCAAGCUCAGGUAGCUUGAUUUUUCCCUGUGGCCAGGACUCCUGCUGACACUUCCAGUCGUCCUCAGAAAAGCCAUUGAGCUACCCUUGGGUUGAAUGAAUGAGAACUUUCUGGAGAGCGGAAGACUGGUGGAGGUCCAGCUGGAAAAACAUAUGGCCGCAGAGGCAGAAAGAGCGCUUCUUCAGGAUUGACUGCCUCCAAUGUACCUGGACCGAAGCCAGUGCUGCAUCCUCAGGCGCCCCUAGGGAUUGUGCGUGCAGGACGGCACCACCUCACAGCCCCGCUCUGAGGUCCGGAUUCCACGCCCACUACCCACCGCCUCCCACUCUCCCACUCCCCUACCCUCACUGGGGCCAGGAGAUGGCGGCCCAUUGUGCCUUCUGAAAGAAAACAAAGUUUGCAAAUCACUGUAGACUGUCUUAUAAUAGGUAGGUCAGGAGGGAAAAUGACUAUGGUAAAUUCUCGUCUUAACCACACAUGACCUCAGCACAUUUUUGAGCUGCACAGUGACACAGAAUGAACUGAAGGAGAAAAACCAGGCAGUCUGGGUUCCAGACCAGGACACCACGAGGAGCUGACUUUUACAGCCCACCAGGCUCUUCCGUCUAUGGAAUUCUCCAGGCAAGAAUACUGGAGUGGGUUGCCAUUCCCUUCUCCAGGGGAAUCUUCCCAACCCAGGGAUUGAUUGCAGACAGAUUCUCUACCAUCUGAACCACCAGGGAAGCCAAAAAAAAAAAAAAUCGUGUCCGACUCUGUGCGACCCCACGGACUGCAGCCUACCAGGCUUCUCCAUCCAUGGGAUUCUCCAGGCAAGAACACUGGAGUGGGCUGCCAUUUCCUUCUCCAAUGCAUGAAAGUGGAAAGUGAAAGUGAAGUCGCUCAGUCGUGUCUGACUCUUAGCGACCCCAUGGACUGCAGCCUACCAGGCUCUUCGGUCCAUGGGAUUUUCCAGAUAUGGGAGCUGUUGCUGCUCUUCCUGGAAUCUCUGCUGCUGCUGCUGCUGCUGCUGCUGCUGCUGCUGCUGCUAACUUGCUUCAGUCGUGUCCGACUCUGUGCGACCCCAUGGACUGCAGCCACCCAAGCUCCUCCGUCCAUGGAAUCUCUGCUACAGGGACAUAAACUCUUUAAGAUUGCCUGACUUAUCAUCCAUCCUUUUCUUCAUUUGAGACUUGAAAUUCGAACUGUGGUGCUGGAGAAGACUCUUGAGAGUCCCUGGGACAGCAAGAUCAAACCAGUCAGUCCUAAAGGAAAUCAACCCUGAAUAUUCAUUGGAAGGACUGAUGUUGAAGCUGAAGCUCCAGUACACUGGCUACCUGAUGCGAAGAGCAGACUCAUUGAAAAAGACCCUGAUGCUGGGCAAGAUUGAAGGCAGGAGGAGAAGUGGGUAACAGAGGAUGAAAUGAUUGGAUGACAUCACUGACUCAACAGACAUGAGUUUGAGCAAACUCCGGAAGAUAGUGAAGGACAGGAAAGCUUGGUGUGCUGCAGUUCAUUGGGUCACAAAGAAUCAGAUACGACUGAGUGACUGAACAAUAACAAUAGUUAAACUGAAUCUCCCAAAUAAAUAAAUAAAUAGAACCUGUUUCAGGUUUCCAACUUGUGUGUGUGUGUGUGUGUGUGGCAUUUUUAAAGUCUGAAUUUCACUUUAUUUGGAAAAUAGACUUAAGAAUUAAGUCCCCCAAGUAUCAAAACCACACACGAUUUAUCUGAAAACAAUUGCUCUUGGGAUGUGUAAGAUGCCUUUUCACAAGUGAAUCAUAUUAUCUGAGAGGUAGAACCCCAGAAGAUGUAUUUAAAAAAUAAAGUUUCUGUCUCAA